rnacentral:rRNA from 1 species
ACCGCACAAGCGGUGGAUGAUGUGGAUUAAUUCGAUGCAACGCGAAAACCUUACCUACCCUUGACAUGUCCGGAAUCCCGAAGAGAUUUGGGAGUGCUCGCAAGAGAACCGGAACACAGGUGCUGCAUGGCUGUCGUCAGCUCGUGUCGUGAGAUGUUGGGUUAAGUCCCGCAACGAGCGCAACCCUUGUCAUUAGUUACCAUCAUUUGGUUGGGCACUCUAAUGAGACUGCCGGUGACAAACCGGAGGAAGGUGGGGAUGACGUCAAGUCCUCAUGGCCCUUAUAGGUGGGGCUACACACGUCAUACAAUGGAUGGUACAAAGGGUCGCCAACCCGCGAGGGGGAGCCAAUCCCAUAAAGCCAUUCGUAGUCCGGAUCGCAGUCUGCAACUCGACUGCGUGAAGUCGGAAUCGCUAGUAAUCGUGGAUCAGAAUGUCACGGUGAAUACGUUCCCGGGUCUU